rnacentral:rRNA from 1 species
CCUACGGGAGGCAGCAGUAGGGAAUAUUGCGCAAUGGGGGAAACCCUGACCGAGCAACGCCGCGUGGACGAUGAAGUUUUUCGGAUUGUACAGUCCUUUUGUUAGAGAAGAUAGUGACGUUAUCUAACGAAUAAGCAACGGGCAACUCCGUGCCAGCUGCCGCGGUCAGACGGAGGGUGCAAGCGGUGCUCGGAAUCACUGGGCGUAAAGCGCGCGUAGGGGGGAUAGCAAGUUAGAUGGUAAAUCCUAUGGGUUAACCAUAGAACUGCAAUUGAAACUGUUAAUCUAGAGUAUGGGAGAGGUAGGUGGAAUUAUUGGUGUAGCGGUAAAAUGCGUAGAGAU